CCCUUGCAAUUGAAUUCUGUUCCAAUUAUAGAAGCCAUGACAGUAUGGCACGGACUUCAUGCUGCUAUCGAAAACUAGCAGAUUGACUAUCUGAUCCUGGAGAGAGAUUCUGCUACAAUAACCAAUUGGAUAAAUGGAAAGUCUUCUUCAUUACACCCAGCCAUUCAUAAUAUCAUUGCUACUACUCAAUGCCUUCAACAUUUCUCUUGCAACCAUAUUCUUAGAUAAGGGAACCAAACUAUAGAUUGUUUGGCAAAGGAAGCAAGCUUCCACCAGCCAGUAAGAAAAGCUAAAAAAUUCCGAGCUACCUUCAGAUCUAGCCAAUUUAAUCAUGGCAGAUGCAAGACCUAUAGGUGUCUUGUUUAAGUGUUCUUGUUCUAUUUUACCAAAGAAAAAACCACGAUCACUCAAUUACUUCAUCAAAGUCAUCAUAAAGUGUGUUGUUGCUGCAAGAC
rnacentral:lncRNA from 1 species